AUUCCGUUGUGUUGACACUUUCGAACUAUAUCCUUAAACCUCUCCCAUGCUUCAAAAAUAGUUUCGGUCUCUUUCUGGUAGAAGUUAUGGAUUUCUUUUCUAAACUU
rnacentral:snoRNA from 1 species